rnacentral:misc_RNA from 1 species
AACUUUUGACAAUGGAUCUCUUGGUUCUGGCAUCGAUGAAGAACGCAGCGAAAUGCGAUAAGUAAUGCGAAUUGCAGAAUUUCCGUGAGUCAUCGAAUCUUUGAACGCACAUUGCGCCCACUGGUAUUCCGGUGGGCAUGCCUGUUCGAGCGUCAUUAUCCUCCCUCAAACCUCGGGUUUGGUGUUGGACCCAAGUUGUGUGAACAACUGGUCUCAAAGACAAUGACGGCGUCCGUGGGACCCUCGGUGCAACGAGCUUUUAACGAGCACGCGUCGAGUUUCAAGGACCUUCCGGGCCGGUCUCCUUCUUUUAUUUACAAAGGUUGACCUCGGAUCAGGUAGGAAUACCCGCUGAAUUUAAGCAUAUCAAUAAGCGGAGGCU